GGGUGAUUAGCUCAGUGGUAGAGCGUUGCAUUCACAUUGCAAAGGCCACAGGUUCGAUACCUGUAUCACCCACCA
rnacentral:tRNA from 1 species